CUGCAGUGAUGACCUGAAUUUCUUCACCUGAAACCUAGAGUGAUGUCCUUUGAGCUUUUUAACCCUGAGCACU
ensembl:snoRNA SNORD36 Small nucleolar RNA SNORD36